GGGCAGAUGGCAGAGUGGUCUAUUGCACCAGACUGUAAAUCUGGCGGGCUUGUCCCUUCGGGGGUUCGAAUCCCUCUCUGCCCA
rnacentral:tRNA from 1 species